CAUGUUCAGGCCAUUUGUUUACGGCAUUGAUAUGAUAUGAAAAAGAAGAUGGGAUGAGGAUGAAAAUGAAAGUGGCAUGAGGAGGAAAAUGAGGAUGGAUGAUGAUGAAAAUAUGGAAGAUCAUGAAUGGUUUUAAAGAAUUCAGUGCAGUGAUAACAGAAAACUCUUGGAACUAUGUAUGUAAUUUAAAAAUAACGUUAUGAAAUAAAUAUUGUGCAGUGUAAA